CUUUUUUUUUUUUUUUUUUUCUGAACAAAUGUGAUCAAUGUUGUUUUCCAUUCAAGAGUUGUUUUAUAUUUUUUACAGAUAUUGUCUAUUUGUGUAUGUUUGUUGGUUGAGAUUAUUGUUGCUGUAAAUUUUCAGUCCUGCUUAGAUACAAAUUAGUAAUCAUCAAAUCACAAGACUAGUUCUUUGUAAAUACAAAUUAUUGCGUAAAUAGGUGCCCAAUAAGAAUACAUAUUAUUUUUAUUUUGAAUUGUUCUACUGUAAGAUAUUUGUUUACAUUCUUUUUGACACAGAUCUUACCCAAUGAAUAGUCUUGAAUUAGAGACAGAACUCUGUGAUUCUUAAUAAUGGGGGCAAUUAUGUUUACUGACAACCCUCGGCUGGCCUGAGCUAAAGGUUAAAAACAAAAUUGCUGCAGGUGAUACAUUAAAAACUGUUGUAUUUGCAAAAUAUAUUAAGAUUUACCAUUGUUCAAGCAUUUGAACCAGUUUUAAGACUGCAGGAUUUUUCUUUAACUUUUUAUAUGAUGGAGAUCCUAUAAAUUAUUUCAGAAUGCUUCUUAAUAGGUUGGUCAUUUUAUUUUUCAAUUUAGUGUAUGCUUAUUAUUAGUCUAAAGAAGUCAUUUAUUUAAAAAAAAAAAAAAAAAGAGCAAAUUUGUAUUUCAUCUUAUAGCUGAAACAGAGUUAAUAUAUUACUAUUUUUCUGUCUUUUUAGUGUUCCAAGUCCAACAGUAGAUGAUAAAGUUAAUCUAUUCAAACAAAUCUUUUCUUGGUGCUGUGUAAACACUGGUCAUUCAAUGAAAACUUGCUUCAGUGUAAUGUAAAAAAAAUAAAAUGUUUGCGAAUUAUUUUCAAAACACUUAUUUGAACAUUUGUAAAAUUUCCUUUUCCACUUCAAUUCUUCAGUGCAGAGCUUUGUGUACUUAUGUUGAGAUCUAUUUAUUACUCAUUGAUCAUUUUGCAACUCCAUCUAGUGCAUCAGUCAAUUUUGAAUCAAACAAGUCAAUUUCUAAGAUAUUUAUUUUUGUCAAGAGUAUGUCAUUUUACAUAGUAAAACAAUAGUGUACAUCUUUAGAUGGCUUGGAUUAAAUGGAGAAAAUCAUUUCACUUUGCAUUUUUUGAAUACUAUUCAUUUGAUUAGAUUAAGCUGAUAUUUUAGGGUAAUGAUGCUCAUGUUUGGUUCCUGUCAGUAGUAUUUGUCAGAGUAGUUCAUUUUUAAAGACCAGUAGGAUAAUUGUACUUACUGAGACAGGCAAAGAAAGUAGUGCUCAAUGGCUAACCAUUUGUCUAUGCAAGUAUCUUUUUGUUGAAAACUGAGCUGAAGUCUGAACCAUUGAACACAUGACCAUUGAUCUCAUGUAGCAACCUUUUUUUUUUUUUUUUUUUUUGUUU